rnacentral:rRNA from 1 species
GAUGAACGCUGGCGGCGUGCCUAAUACAUGCAAGUCGAGCGAACAGACGAGGAGCUUGCUCCUCUGACGUUAGCGGCGGACGGGUGAGUAACACGUGGAUCACCUACCUCUUAGACUUGGAUAACUUCGUGAAACCGGAGCUAAUACUGGAUCAUAUAUUGAACCGCAUGGUUCAAUAGUUAUAGACGGUUUUGCUGUCACUUAUAGAUGGUUCCGCGCCGCAUUAGCUAGUUGGUAAGGUAACGGCUUACCAAGGCAACGAUGCGUAUCCGACCUGAGAGGGUUGACGGCCAAAAUGGAAAUGGGAAAAGGUCCAGACUCCUAAGGGAAGCAGCAGUAGGGAAACAUCCGAAAAGGGCGAAAGCCUGAAGGAGGAAAGACGCGUGAGUGAUGAAGGGCUUCGGAUCGUAAAACUCUGUUAUUAGGGAAGAACAAAUGUGAAAGUAACUAUGCACGGCUCGGCGGGACCUAAUCAGAAAACCACGGCUAACUACGUU